UCUACGGGAGGCAGCAGUGAGGAAUAUUGGUCAAUGGGCGAGAGCCUGAACCAGCCAAGUCGCGUGAGGGAAGACGGUCCUAUGGAUUGUAAACCUCUUUUGUCGGGGAGCAAAAAGGCCUCGUGAGGCCACAAGUGAGAGUACCCGAAGAAAAAGCAUCGGCUAACUCCGUGCCAGCAGCCGCGGUAAUACGGAGGAUGCGAGCGUUAUCCGGAUUUAUUGGGUUUAAAGGGUGCGUAGGCGGACUGGAAAGUCAGCGGUAAAAUCGAGAGGCUCAACCCCGUCCGGCCGUUGAAACUGGGGGCCUUGAGUGGGCGAGAAGAAGGCGGAAUGCGUGGUGUAGCGGUGAAAUGCAUAGAUAUCACGCAGAACCCCGAUUGCGAAGGCAGCCUUCCGGCGCCCUACUGACGCUGAGGCACGAAAGUGCGGGGAUCGAACAGGAUUAGAUACCCCAGUAGUC
rnacentral:rRNA from 1 species